ACUAUACUAAUUCGUGAACAACAUCAAUUUUUUACAGAAUUUUGGGCCUCCUCAAGGAUUAACGCGGUUGCGACACCUGUUAUACUAAUUGGGUUGAUUUCUUUCUGUGUACACGUUCAAUGCUCUGUAAAACUUCGUCUCCUUUCCUUUCUUCAGACUACAAUGUGAGCUGUUGUUGGUGUUUUGGUGUGUGGCUGUAGCGUUGCCAAAAGUAGUCAAAGCGGUGUGCACAGGUUCCCACGGUGAAUAAUCCAAAGCUCCACCGUUUAUCGAGACCGACCAUCCAGUUUCAUUCCGCCUUGCCGCCUCAUGGCCGGAGCGCUGCCCCGCAACCCUCUCCCUGGCCACGCCCAGUGCCACCGCACGGCGCCACGGCUUCGGCGCCUCCCCAUCUUCAGUUUCCCGCAACCGCGAUGCGAGCCUGUGAAACCCUAGACCCAUCCUAGGCUUGGUCGUUGGCACUGCACUUCGCCUGCAACUACUCAUCGACCUCCUCGAGCCACGGCCGGUUCGUCUUCUCUAUCGCGACGAAGAAGCACACUCGCCACCCGGCCGUGUUGCUUUCCCUGGUGGCCGUCGCGUGUACCUCCUCGGCGAAGGUGCCGAGUAAAUUGAGGGAGCAACACACCCCCUCCCCUUCCGGCACCGUGCAAGUGGGAUGCUUCUCCCCAGUUCUUCCUUCUCUCUCCCAAGAUGUGGAUCGAAAAAAAUGAUACGGGGGCUCUCGAGCUCCGGCGACAAGAAAGGGGUGGGCGGUGCAGCACAAAUCCAAGUGCACUUGACAGGGCGGCCGGCGCAGGCGCAACAGGUUUGUGACUCUGUUACGGUAGCGCUGCGGCUCAAGAUCUUGACUGCCGGUGGCGGUCGCUCGACAGUAUGAGUCUCCGCUGGGUUCAGGGUGCUGCAGCGGAUUGCUGCCCUCCAGGAAUUCCUCUCCUCCACCUCGCUACUCUCGUGGAUCAGGAGGAGCACGGGUCGUUCGUGGCCGCUUUUCACCCCCAAAAAUCCUGGGCUGCGGCUGCAUCUUCCCAUCUUGGUCAGAAGGAGAGAAGGGCCGGCAGAUCUGGGCUGGCCCCGACGGUUAUGCUACAAACAUAUCGUCGGGAGUCACAGCUACCGAUGGAUCUACCUCAGUUGUGUACAGGCCAGUUGAACCAGCGGGUGAAUCACUCAAUGAUGGAGCAAGCAUUGCCUUAGAGGUUAUAAUGGUUUGUGCAAGAAGAAGUAUCAUGUAUGCUUCAAGACUUUGAUUGGCGGCUUAUAUUCUGUUUAUCUGAAUGAAGCAUGAUACUAUAUUCAAGAUCUAUUAGGUAUCUUUGAAGAUUCGAUCCAAGAUUCAUAUUGUGAGACCAAAUAUUCAUGAACAGAAUUAAAGGUGAUUUCUUAAUGGAAACACAUUAAACAUUUCUUUGAGGGAAAAUGAGUCUGAUGGUUCAAUUAUUUUUACAGUAUUUUCGUAAUUAUGAUGCCCGUGAGAAUUAAGCAAAGUUACUACCAUGUUGUAGAAUUUAUCUGGUUUAUGGAGCAUUUUGGUGGUGGUGCUGAAUGAAUUCGCCUGUUUUACUUCCUUCCAAUCAUGCCCCUAUUCCAUAUAUAGUUUGUCAUGCUAGGUAAAGCAUGUUGUGGCCAAUAACAUAAUUUUGUGUGCCACAAUGAUACAUUUGUGUCUCUAAACUGGAUCUGCUGACUAAAUUGUGCAUCCCUCAUUUGCUAACCUAUCUAAGUGAUCUUUUUAUGGUUUGUCUGUAUAAUAUGAUACAAUGCUUAUCUGUAUCUCUAGCUGCUGAUGUAAUUACUUCCAAGAACACCUUAGUUGAGCAGUCAUGAGAAUAUGACACUAUGCCAGAGCCGAGAUCAUCCACAUGGUCAGGUUUUAGCCGAGACAGGACGAGCGGACCAGCCAGCGUGGGCUCCACCAAGAUUCACAUGUGUUUUGCCAAGUGCCAACAACUCGACGGACUUGGUUGCGCCAUUGAAAGCUAGAACCGAAUGAAUCUGAGCCUUUCACUCUUCUCAUUGCACUCAUUAAUGAUAUUUGUUGACGAAACAGAAGUGAGAGAGGACAGUAGUCACAACACAUUUUGAUUAUUGAAACAAGUGGGGCUUAUAUAGCAGAUGUACAAGGGCAUGAUCGGUGCUAACUGAUUCGAUGUUAGUCUAGCUAGAAAUCCCAAAUUACAGAUCAAAGCUAUCAUGCUAAUCGUGCACAGGAUUACGUCUAAGAGACGUUAGUUCAAAUAAAAUAUACAAGUUGAUGUAUAAAUAUUAUGUCUGGUUCCUCGCAUCCCUCAUUUGCUAACCUAUCUAAGUGAUCUUUUUAUGGUUUGUCUGUAUAAUAUGAUACAAUGCUUAUCUGUAUCUCUAGCUGCUGAUGUAAUUACUUCCAAGAACACCUUAGUUGAGCAGUCAUGAGAAUAUGACACUAUGCCAGAGCCGAGAUCAUCCAUAUGGUCAGGUUUUAGCCGAGACAGGACGAGCGGACCAGCCAGCGUGGGCUCCACCAAGAUUCCCAUGUGUUGUGCCAAGUGCCAACAACUCGACGGACUUGGUUGCUGCCAUUGAAAGCUAGAACCGAAUGAAUCUGGCAAUGGACUUAUACUAGCAUACAGGGAGAGUUCUAAUUUAAAAUUCUAUAUCGCCAGGUUGCUUCUGCCGAAGUUGCCUCCUCCGAUUAAAAAGGGGAGAUAACUUUCUGAUUUUUGUGAACAUUUGUUCCUUUUGAUAUUUAACCGGCUCAAGACCAAUACUUUAUCUGUUUCUGACUCAGAUAUGUAGUGCCCCUUUUCUCAUUAUUGUUUGCAAACCGUGCACAGACCGGAGACACCAUCGAGAUAUCGAUGGCGUGCACAUCAUAAUGGGAGAUGAUAUGAGAGCACUGUCCCAAUCAGGAGAACCAAGAAGGAUGGCCGGAUGGCCUGCUUUGUGCAUGCAGGUGUACGGGGAUGACAUGACAUGCGUGAGUAGUGCAUGCGGGUGUACGGGGAUGACAUGACAUGCGUGAGUACUCGAUGAUCAUAAUUGGUCGGCAGAUUGCAUCCAAACUUUGGCAGAUUCAUGGUACAAUAUAUUGACAUGAGAUCUUUGUGGUCAGCUGGCAUCUGUACUAGAUUGAGAUAGUUACUAAAAGAUCCAGAUAAAUGUUACAAAAGAAAAAUACACAAGAGGCAUCUCACCAAAUUAAUCAAAUUCACACAGCGGGAUUUCUGCCCUGUGGUAUUAUCAUUUAAAAGCCUAAAAAUGACUGGAUGGUCUACCCAUAUUAUAGAUCUUAACUAGACCUUUAAUAUCCAACAUGCUAUUAUUAUCACCAGGAUUUUCUUCACCCGGUUUUUUCUUCAUUGGCAGUCAUAUCAGGUCUUUUGUUAUUAUCUUCCUUCAAAGAAUCGUAAACAUCAAUUGUCUCAUCAACUUCUCUCACAAAAUCAGCCCCUUUGCCUUGGCUCUUAGCAAACAGAGACAUCCUUUUCUCUUCAGUGAAUGUCUCCAGUUUUACAAAGCUACAAAGCUACAGAAAGCACUAGAGUAAAAAAGAACCAGCAGUCACACAUACAAAGAAAAAAAGUAGAUGAUGUGUCUUAGUUAAGGUAACUCUGUUCCAUAAUACAUUCUAUGUAGUCUGUACAGCUAACACUGCUAGGUCAAAACUCAAUACAAAAGGAUACCCUCAUAAUUGUUACGGCUUGUGUUCCACUUUUUUGUUAUUGAUACUUAGGGAUAUAGCACUAUCCUCUGGUUUUCAUAACCUAGCUACAUACUUGCACACAAAUAGCAAGGAGAUCACGACCUAGAGAAAGUCUUUGACAACUCCAUCCCCUCAGAAAGAAAGCGAGAACGGAGAAGGCAGAGCAUGAAUGGUCCUCCGUCAUGCUUUCCUUCAUCGAAGAACACAAGCAAGAUGGCAUCAACAUCUCAAAAAACAGAGCGCACAAAAAAAAUAAGGCCACACAGGACUCCAAAGGACUGAGACUAGGAACAACAAAGCGCGACAGGCCUCCUAAGGUUGGAUUUAUGCCAGGAGUCAGAUUCAACCGCUUCAUGCAUAGGGUAACAGGUAGCCCUCUUGACCCACUCAAGAUCCCCAAAUCGUUACAUAAGCAUAUCACUGGGAAUUUCCCUCGGAAAAUUGGGAACAUGGUUGGAAAGUUUGUCCAGUGGAGUGGACGAACUGCAUCUUCAUAGAACAUGGGUGGGAUGAUUUCGUGGAUGUGAUGAUUUCGUGGAAGCCAACGACAUUCCAGUAGGUGAUACAUUCAUCUUUGACUACACAGGAUUGAACACUCAAAGGAGCCAUUCUCUGGUACAUUGGAUGCGAGAAGAUCCAAAACACAAUACCAAGAGAUCAGCCUGAAAUAACCUUUUAUCCAUCGGUACAUCAAUCUAUGCUACUGCUUAAGUUCUAUAUAUGUAAUAUUUCUUCUGUAUUGCCCUAUAAAACCACCAACUGAUGAUUAAUAGGAAGUACCAGUAAUUAUUACCAGACUGAGUUUCUAUUCCUUUCUAAUACCCGCUUAUUUACUCUAUCCUCAAGAUCAGCUUCAUAUACCCAU